rnacentral:rRNA from 1 species
GACGGGGGGGGCAAGUGUUCUUCGGAAUGACUGGGCGUAAAGGGCACGUAGGCGGUGAAUCGGGUUGAAAGUGAAAGUCGCCAAAAAGUGGCGGAAUGCUCUCGAAACCAAUUCACUUGAGUGAGACAGAGGAGAGUGGAAUUUCGUGUGUAGGGGUGAAAUCCGUAAAUAUACGAAGGAACGCCAAAAGCGAAGGCAGCUCUCUGGGUCCCUACCGACGCUGGGGUGCGAAAGCAUGGGUAGCGAACAGG